GAUGAACGCUGGCGGCGUGCCUAAUACAUGCAAGUCGAGCGAACAGAUGAGAAGCUUGCUUCUCUGAUGUUAGCGGCGGACGGGUGAGUAACACGUGGGUAACCUACCUAUAAGACUGGGAUAACUCCGGGAAACCGGGGCUAAUACCGGACAUUAUUUUGAACCGCAUGGCUCAAUAGUGAAAGCCGGUUUCGGCUUACCCUUAUAGAUUACCUUGCGGUGCAUUAGUUAGUUGGUGGGGUAAUGGCCUACCAAGACGAUGAUGCAUAGCCGACCUGAGAGGGUGAUCGGCCACAUUGGGACUGAGACACGGCCCAAACUCCUACGGGAGGCAGCAGUAGGGAAUCUUCCGCAAUGGGCGAAAGCCUGACGGAGCAAUGCCGCGUGAGUGAAGAAGGCCUUCGGGUCGUAAAACUCUGUUAUAAGAGAAGAACAAAUUGUAGAGUAACUGCUACAGUCUUGACGGUAUCUUAUCAGAAAGCCACGGCUAACUACGUGCCAGCCGCCGCAGUAA
rnacentral:rRNA from 1 species